rnacentral:rRNA from 1 species
CACUGAGGUGCGAAAGCAUGGGGAGCAAACAGGAUUAGAUACCCUGGUAGUCCAUGCCGUAAACGAUGUCUACUAGCCGUUGGGGGAUUUGAUCCUUUAGUGGCGCAGCUAACGCGAUAAGUAGACCGCCUGGGGAGUACGGUCGCAAGACUAAAACUCAAAUGAAUUGACGGGGGCCCGCACAAGCGGUGGAGCAUGUGGUUUAAUUCGAUGCAACGCGAAGAACCUUACCUGGCCUUGACAUAGUAGAGACUUUCCAGAGAUGGAAAGGUGCCUUCGGGAAUCUACAUACAGGUGCUGCAUGGCUGUCGUCAGCUCGUGUCGUGAGAUGUUGGGUUAAGUCCCGCAACGAGCGCAACCCUUUUCCUUACUUGCCAGCAUUUCGGAUGGGAACUUUAAGGAUACUGCCAGUGACAAACUGGAGGAAGGCGGGGACGACGUCAAGUCAUCAUGGCCCUUACGGCCAGGGCUACACACGUGCUACAAUGGUCGGUACAAAGGGUUGCUACACAGCGAGAGGAUGCUAAUCUCAAAAAGCCGAUCGUAGUCCGGAUCGCAGUCUGCAACUCGACUGCGUGAAGUCGGAAUCGCUAGUAAUCGCGGAUCAGAAUGCCGCGGUGAAUACGUUCCCGGGCCUUGUACACACCGCCCGUCACACCAUGGGAGUUUGUUGCACCAGAAGUAGGUAGUCUAACCGCAA